rnacentral:tRNA from 1 species
GGCGGCGUAGCCGAGUGGCUCAGGCAGAGGUCUGCAAAACCUUGUACGCGGGUUCGAUUCCCGCCGCCUCCG